GAACAGUCAAUCCUACUUGGAUAACUGUGGUAAUUCUAGAGCUAAUACAUGCACCCAAGCCCCGACUCGGGGGGCAACUCUCGAGAAAGGGCGCUUUUAUUAGAUCAAAACCAGUCGAGAGCUUCGGCUCUCGUUAAGUUUGGUGACUCUGGAUAACUUCACGCUGAUCGCACGGUCUUCGCACCGGCGACGAUUCUUUCAAAUGUCUGCCUUAUCAACUGUCGAUGGUAGGUUAUGCGCCUACCAUGGUUGCAACGGGUAACGGGGAAUCGGGGUUCGAUUCCGGAGAGGGAGCCUGAGAAACGGCUACCACAUCCAAGGAAGGCAGCAGGCGCGCAAAUUACCCACUCCCGGCACGGGGAGGUAGUGACGAAAAAUAACGAUACGGGACUCUUCCGAGGCCCCGUGAUUGGAAUGAGUACACUUUAAAUCCUUUAACGAGGACCCAUUGGAGGGCAAGUCUGGUGCCAGCAGCCGCGGUAACUCCAGCUCCAAUAGCGUAUAUUAAAGUUGUUGCGGUUAAAAAGCUCGUAGUCCGAGUUCUGUCUUCGGCCGAGGGGGGAUUCUGCCUACACGGUAUGAGUCUCGUUCCCUUUGGGUGUGCGGUGUCAAAGCCGUGCACUCUUAACGGUCGGACAAGUCCGUCGGAGUGUGGUUAUUGUUGGAAGGGCAACCGACCAAUGAGGCCACCGUAAUCGUUCGGGGUGCCUUUAAUCGGGUGUCUCGGGCGGCCGACAUAGUUUACUUUGAACAAAUUAGAGUGCUCAAAGCAGGUGACUACCGCCUGAAUAGUACAGCAUGGAAUGAUGAAAGAGGACCUCGGUCUGAUUUUGCUGGUCUUUAACGGUCGGGCUUCGGCCCGGCCUAUGCAGACCCGAGGUAAUGGUCAAUAGAGACGGACGGGGGCAUCCGUACUGCGGCGACAGAGGUGAAAUUCUUGGACCGCCGCAAGACGAACGACAGCGAAGGCAUUUGCCAAGAAUGUUUUCCUUGAUCAAGAACGAAAGUUAGAGGUUCGAAGGCGAUCAGAUACCGCCCUAGUUCUAACCAUAAACGAUGCCAACUUGCGAUCCGCCGGUGUUACUCCCAUGACUCGGCGGGCAGCUUCCGGGAAACCAAAGUCUUUGGGUUCCGGGGGAAGUAUGGUUGCAAAGCUGAAACUUAAAGGAAUUGACGGAAGGGCACCACCAGGAGUGGAGCCUGCGGCUUAAUUUGACCCAACACGGGAAACCUCACCAGGCCCGGACACUGGAAGGAUUGACAGAUUGAGAGCUCUUUCUUGAUUCGGUGGGUGGUGGUGCAUGGCCGUUCUUAGUUGGUGGAGCGAUUCGUCUGGUUAAUUCCGAUAACGAACGAGACUCUAGCCUGCUAAAUAGGUGCCGGGUUU
rnacentral:rRNA from 1 species